CCUACGGGAGGCAGCAGUGAGGAAUAUUGCGCAAUGGGGGAAACCCUGACGCAGCAACGCCGCGUGGGUGAAGAAGGCCUUCGGGUCGUAAAGCCCUUUUCUGGGGGACGAGGAAGGACGGUACCCCAGGAAUAAGUCACGGCUAACUACGUGCCGGCAGCCGCGGUAAAACGUAGGUGGCAAGCGUUAUCCGGAAUCACUGGGCGUAAAGGGCGUCUAGGCGGACGGGUAAGUCGUGCGUGAAAGCUUCCGGCUCAACCGGGAGAGGUCGUACGAUACUGCCUGUCUUGAGGGUCGGAGAGGGACGUGGAAUUCCCGGUGUAGCGGUGAAAUGCGUAGAGAUCAGGAGGAACACCGAUGGCGAAGGCAGCCCCCUGGGUUGGCACUGACGCUCAUGCACGAAAGCGUGGGGAGCAAACAGGAUUAGAUACCCCGGUAGU
rnacentral:rRNA from 1 species